UGCGCAGGCGGGGAUGUAAGUCAGUGUUGAAAUACUGCCGCUCAACGGUAGAACUGCCAUUGAUACUGCAUCUCUUGAGUAUGGUUGAGGUAGGCGGAAUGUGUUGUGUAGCGGUGAAAUGCAUAGAUAUGGCACAGAACGCCAAUUGCGAAGGCAGCUUACUAAACCAUUACUGACGCUGAGGCACGAAAGCGUGGGGAGCGAACAGGAUUAGAUACCCUGGUAGUCC
rnacentral:rRNA from 1 species